UACGUAGGCAGCGAGCGUUGUUCGGAGUUACUGGGCGUAAAGCGCGUGUAGGCUGUUCGAUAAGUCCGCUGUAAAAGUCAAGGGCUCAACCCUUGAAAGCCGGUGGAUACUGUCGAACUAGAGUACGGAAGAGGCGAGUGGAAUUCCUGGUGUAGCGGUGAAAUGCGCAGAUAUCAGGAGGAACACCAAUUGCGAAGGCAGCUCGCUGGGACGUAACUGACGCUGAGACGCGAAAGCGUGGGGAGCAAACAGG
rnacentral:rRNA from 1 species